rnacentral:rRNA from 1 species
GGCAGGCUUAACACAUGCAAGUCGAGCGGAGAUGAGGUGCUUGCACCUUAUCUUAGCGCGGACGGGUGAGUAAUGCUUAGGAAUCUGCCUAUUAGUGGGGGGACAACAUUCCGAAAGGAAUGCUAAUAACCGCAUACGUCCUACCGGGAGAAAAGCAGGGGAUCUUCGGACCUUGCGCUAAUAGAUGAGCCUAAGUCGGAUUAGCUGGUUGGUGGGGUAAAGGCCUACCAAGGCGACGAUCUGUAGCGGGUCUGAGAGGAUGAUCCGCCACACUGGGACUGAGAAACGGCCCAGACUCCUACGGGAGGCAGCAGUGGGGAAUAUUGGACAAUGGGGGAACCCUGAUCCAGCCAUGCCGCGUGUGUGAAGAAGGCCUUAUGGUUGUAAAGCACUUUAAGCGAGGAGGAGGCUACUGAGACUAAUACUCUUGGAUAGUGGACGUUACUCGCAGAAUAAGCACCGGCUAACUCUGUG